GGUCAAGCUAAUAAGGGCAACCUG
rnacentral:rRNA from 1 species